rnacentral:RNase_P_RNA from 1 species
UCAGAUGACCGGGCGAUCGCAGGAGCGAGAGCCUCAUCCCCAAAAGUGCUUUGCGGUUUUGGGAUAGAGAUGAGGCGACGUUAUCUUGAGGAAAGUCCGGGCUUCACGGUAAUAGGGCGGCGGGUAACGCCCGCCAAGGGUGACCUUAGGGAUAGCGCCACAGAAAACAGACCGCCCGGCGUCAGCCGGGUAAGGGUGAAACGGUGCGGUAAGAGCGCACCGCGCGACCGGCAACGGAAGCGGCACGGCAAGCCCCGCCCGAAGCAAAACCGAAUAGGAACGGCGCGUCGGUUUUCCGACAGGGUAUUACCGCCCCAGCACGUUCGGGUUGGUUGCAUGAGCGCCGGAGCAAUCCGUCGCCAAGAUGAAUGAUCGCCAGAGGGCGCAAGCCCCGAACAGAACCCGGCUUACAGGUCAUCUGAUCCC